CUCUUCUGACCCAGCAUUUUCCUGCAGCCGCCUCUCCGCCUCCUCCUCCUCCGCCUCCUCCUCCUCCGCCGCCGCCUCCCCCACCACGGCAGCCGCCGCCACUACCGCCGCCACCGGCGCCGCCGCCGCCGCCUCCCGGCAGGGGGGACCCCGCCGCCCCGAGCCGCUCCGCCGCCGCUCCGCAGCCUCCCGCCGCCGCCGUUCCGCCGCGGGGGGAGGGAGGAGGAGGAGGUGGCCGAGGAGAAGGAGGAGGGGGAAGGGAGGGGGGGGUCCGUGUCGUCGCCGCAGGCGGGAGAAGCGGGGAGGCCGGGGGUGGCUGAGUGUCUGCGGCGCCGCUCCCGUCCUCCGCUGGAACCGCUGCGGCUCCGCGUCGCUCCCGGCCCCCCCUCCCCCCGCUCGCUGCGCUCCAAAUCAAAAUAGAGUCACAACAUGGCGGCGGCGGCGACGGGCCAGCAUCGCGAGACCGAGCCCCGAGCGCUAACGGGAUGCGGCGCGCGCGCGCGCGAGGGGAGUGGGCGGGCCGCGCCGAUGGGGGCCGGGCCUCCGCCGCCACCGCCCCGCCGAGGGGGUUGGCCGCGCGCAGCGGACGAGGCCGAGCGGAACGAGCGGCGCGGCGGCUCCCGCCCCGCCCCCCGGCACGCGCGGGGGAGUGACGCCCGCCGGCGGCGCCGCCUCAGCGCAUCGCGGGGGGCCGCCCGCCUGGGAAAGGGGAGGCCCGCGGGAAGCGAAACGCUGUUUGGGGGAGCCGAGGGAGUGGGAAAAAGGAACUGGGAAAGGCUGGGUUUGAGAAAAGGGCCUCUGCGUGUGAAACAGUCGUUCUGAGAGGGGAGAGCCAGGCACUGUCUGUCAGAAACACCGGUGCCAGCUCUUAACGGUCUAAAUACUUCACGCGGAGUACGUGACUCCUGUCGUCGCUCUGAGAUACAGCUUAGCGUAACUCUUCCCGAAGUACCCGUGAGCACAGCGGGACUGCACGCCGGCUGGCCGGGCCCUCUGUCCCGCUCUGCGCCCGCGGGAGGGAUCACCCCGCGCCUGAGGAGCCGCGGGGCCCGCGGUCCCUACGUGCCAAACUCACAUCCCUUCUCCAGGGAAAGGAUAGCCAUCCCGACGCUCGAGUCGGCCUUCAUAUUUCAUCUUAAAUGGAAAGACAGCUUUUAGAUGAGCUUAUAAAGUCACUACAGUUCUCAGUCUUUUUGUUUUCUUUUUUAAUCAGAGAGUGAUAAGUUACACCGUCAACUCCCACUCUUCCUCCAGUUCCUUUCUUCCCACAUCUCUUUUUCUCUAUCCUUGCUGCCCUUGGCAGGUGCUGACCCAUAGUGUUUAGCAACAGACUGCCUGUACAUUGAUUCUAGGUAAUCCUCAUCUACAGAGUUAGAAGUGCUUUAAAAAAAAAAAAGACUGUCCAGAACAGUCCCUCUGCACCUAGAAAGGAACCUUGCAGAUUUCCCACCACAACAGUAGCACUGUGUAGAAAUCAGUACAGUUUUGUUGCUCUAAUUCUCAGGGGAGCCAGUGAUUGUCAGUGCCUUCCAGCACAUGAAAGGAACUGUGAAACCAUCUCUCUCAUCUGCCGUUCUAAACCUUUAAGAGUUGCAAUAGCCUUUGUAGUGGUGUGAUGAGAAAGGGCUCUGGUUUCUUCACAGGACAUCACUUGAGAGAUAGGCCCAUUGGCAUUUGUGAAAUAAAGUGACAAACUAAUAAUAAUAAGCAGGAAUCAACUUAUUUCUGACAUGAUUUGGGUCAAGUGUCUGGUUCCAAGAAAUUAAACUAACUUUGAUGUUACAACAACGAAAACACUGAUGUAAAAAAAAAAAAAGACACCCCUCUCAACUGCAUUUAGCUAGAAUAGCCCAACAGAGAACCCCAGGAUAAGCAGAGGCUAUUUUCCUUUGAUGUAGCAGACAGGGACAGAGAAAACACAACACCAACGUGUCCAGUAAUAAGAUGUUAUGUUAGGAUUAAAAAAAAAAGAAAUGGAGGACAGUUGUCUUCAUAUACACACACACAUUUCAGUAAGAAUUAGUCAUUUUCAUAUGCUGCAAUAGAGAAGCCUGCAGUUCUGUACAUCAGCAAUAUAG
rnacentral:lncRNA from 1 species